GUGAGGAAUAUUGCGCAAUGGAGGCAACUCUGACGCAGCCAUGCCGCGUGCAGGAAGAAGGCGCUACGCGUUGUAAACUGCUUUUAACCGGGAAGAAACCCCAGGACGUGUCCUGGGUUGACGGUACCGGAGGAAUAAGCACCGGCUAACUUCGUGCCAGCAGUCGCGGUAAUACGAAGGGUGCAAGCGUUAUCCGGAUUCAUUGGGUUUAAAGGGUGCGUAGGCGGAGCGUUAAGUCAGUGGUGAAAUCCUGCAGCUUAACUGUAGACUUGCCAUUGAUACUGGCGCUCUUGAGUGCGCUUGAAGUGGGCGGAAUGUGCCGUGUAGCGGUGAAAUGCUUAGAUAUGGCACAGAACACCAAUUGCGAAGGCAGCUCACUAAGGCGAUACUGACGCUGAGGCACGAAAGCGUGGGGAUCGAACAGGAUUAGAUACCCUUGUAGUCC
rnacentral:rRNA from 1 species